CGCAGAGCGGCAGAGAGGAGGCGACAAAACAGCAGCAGCAGGCGGAGGAGGAGAUCGCAGUCUGGCGAUGUGACGGGUCGUCAGCUGUACCAAGUGUUACCGGUGUUUUCUUGGAUUGUGUCUGACUGAAUGUUUGAGCAAGUGUCUGGGAGAGAACACAGUGCAUGCAGUGGUAGAGGGGGACGUGGAUAUUGAAGUGCUUCCUCAUCGCCACGAUUACCAUGUCAGACCAGAACCAGCAGCUUUGGAUACAGCAUGUGAAAUAAUAGAGGCUCAGCGGCUGUGGAUAGAAGAGCUGAGAAAGAGACUGAAGGAGGUCUCAUUGAAGCAGUCAUUUGGGUUGGAGAGGUUUUCGGCAUUGGAUGAAGACAUCAGAUUCUAUACCAGUGCAAUAUCAGCUCCUGACAAGGCCGCUGAUCCACUUCACUGACCAGACUUGUCUCCCCUGCUCCAGUCCAUCAGAACUGAUGCGUUCCAAUGAUUGAUGAACUGUUCCUGUUGGUGUACCUGUCUCUGGGUCUGAAAGAGAAAGAUCUGGAUGACCGUUUCAACAUUCAGCAGUCCACAGUCAGCAGGAUCAUCAAAACCUGGGUCAGAUGGUUGUCUCCUGAGAUGAUUAGAACCACCAUGCCAAGUGUGUUUGGAAAGUACUCUGACACCCAAGUCAUUGUUGACUGCAUGACUGUGAGAUGUCAAAUGUCUUCAUCUUUACUCUUACAGAUUGAGAUGUUUUCACAGUACAAAUUGCACACUACCCUGAAAGAAAUGUUUCUUCAUUGUAU